rnacentral:rRNA from 1 species
UACGUAGGAGGCAAGCGUUGUCCGGAAUCACUGGGCGUAAAGCGCGUGUAGGUGGAAGAGGAAGUCUGCUGUGAAAACGCCUGGCUUAACCGGGCGAGGUCGGUGGAAACUCCUCAUCUCGAGGGCGGUAGAGGGGGGUGGAAUUCCGGGUGUAGCAGUGAAAUGCGUAGAGAUGCGGAGGAACACCGAUGGCGAAGGCAGCCCCCUGGGCUAACACUGACGCUCAGGCACGAAAGCGUGGGGAGCAAACAGG